UUUAUAUAAGGGGUUCAAACCAAGUGAAUCUUCUCUGACCUGUAUCUUUGGUUUGUUCGAUAAGUUGCCGGAAUUGAUGCAGAGACAAUGAGUUUGGGUACAAGUACAAUGGCUAGCAGUGACUAAAUUGUGUGUUGCAACUUGCAAGGUAUACUAAUCAAUUUUCAAGUAACCUAAUAGUUGCUUGGGGAAGAGGGAGAGGGAGAGAUUUGGCUGGAUAUAUGCUGUAGAGGUUUUUGUAUUUCUAGCUUUUGAUUGUUAGUUCUGUUACCAUAACUGAUAAAUUUAUCCUGGGAUGAGUUUAUCCAAACCAUGAGUAGUAUCCAAAACUUUGCAAGACUGGCUGUCCGUUGA
rnacentral:lncRNA from 1 species